UACGAAGGGUGCAAGCGUUACUCGGAAUUACUGGGCGUAAAGGGUGCGUAGGCGGUUCGUUAAGUCUGUUGUGAAAUCCCCGGGCUCAACCUGGGAAUGGCGAUGGAUACUGGCGAGCUAGAGUGUGUCAGGGGAUGGUGGAAUUCCCGGUGUAGCGGUGAAAUGCGUAGAGAUCCGGAAGAACACCAGUGGCGAAGGCGGCCCGCUGGGCAGUGGCUGACGCUGAGGCGCGACAGCGUGGGGAGCAAACAGG
rnacentral:rRNA from 1 species